UACGAAGGGUGCAAGCGUUGCUCGGAAUUAUUGGGCGUAAAGGGUAGGUAGGUGGUCUCAUUUGUCCGGGGUGAAAGCCUUGAGCUUAACUCAAGAAGUGCCUCGGAAACGGUGAGACUAGAGUUCUGGAGAGGGUCGUGGAAUUCCCGGUGUAGCGGUGAAAUGCGUAGAGAUCGGGAGGAACACCAGAGGCGAAGGCGGCGACCUGGACAGAUACUGACACUCAACUACGAAAGCGUGGGGAGCAAACAGG
rnacentral:rRNA from 1 species